GAUGAACGCUGGCGGCGUGCCUAAUACAUGCAAGUCGAGCGAAGCGGGGACGGGUGAGUAACACGUGGAUAACCUCCUAUAAGACUGGGAUCACUUCGUUCAACCGGAGCUAACCCUGAUUCUUCUAGCUGGCUCCGCUCUGCAUUAGCUAGUUGGUAAGGUAACGGCUUAACAAGGCGACGCUGCAUCGCCGAGCUGAGAGGGGGAUCGGCCACACUGGAACUGAGAAACGUUCCAGACGCAUACGUGAGGCAGCAGUAGGGAAUCUUCCGAAAUGGGCGAAAGCCUGAUGGAGCAACGCCGCGUGAGUGAUGAAGGUCUUCGGAUCGUAAAACUCUGUUAUUAGGGAAGCGGUACCUAAUCAGAAAGCCACGGCUAACUACGUGCCAGCAGCCGCGGUAAUUC
rnacentral:rRNA from 1 species